rnacentral:rRNA from 1 species
GGAGGGUGCGAGCGUUGUCCGGAAUCACUGGGCGUAAAGGGCGCGUAGGCGGCCUGAUAAGUAGGGGGUGAAAUCCUGCGGCUUAACCGCAGGGCUGCCUUCUAAACUGUCGGGCUAGAGCACGGUAGAGGCAGAUGGAAUUCCCGGUGUAGCGGUGGAAUGCGUAGAGAUCGGGAAGAACAUCAGUGGCGAAGGCGGUCUGCUGGGCCGUUGCUGAUGCUGAGGCGCGACAGCGUGGGGAGCAAACAGGAUUAGAUACCCUGGUAGUCCACGCCGUAAACGAUGGGCACUAGGCGUCGGGGGGAGCGACCCUCCCGGUGCCGUCGCUAACGCAGUAAGUGCCCCGCCUGGGGAGUACGGCCGCAAGGCUG